UAAAGGACAUAAAGGUUCCAUUGAAAACAAAACCUCUCUCCUCUCAGACAGCCAACGCUUACAGCUCGCCAUCUCUCUCACGAAAUCUCCCUAUUGAUCUUUACCCACAUGGCCGAAAACACCAGUUGAUGUCGAAGCAAAAGCCUAUCCUCCAGCAAUUGCAGUGGUUUUUUAGCAGCUCAGGUCUAAGUUUUCGGUUGGGAGAUCGUAACUCUGCGGUGGACGCUGGGCGGCUGGGCAGUCAUGAGUCACUCUCCGCCUCUCGUUCGUUGCUCUCUCUGCACCACGCAACUGCGCCACACCUCUCUCUCUCCCUCCCUCCCUCCUUGAUGGGAUCUCCCUCAGUCUCUCACUAGCAAUUGUUACUAAAGUCUUUAGCAGAUACAUUCCUAGUUUCAUUCUUCUGUUAUUUCUGAAAAUGGUAUCCUUUGUUAUGUAAUUCUUUUUAUCCAUUCAAGAAUAUAUAUCUCACAAUGAAAUAAAAGGAGUGCAUCUUCAAAAGUACUUUGGUUCACAAUGGUUGUCUUUUUUUGCUAUUGUAUUUACUGGAUCAUUUUUCUAAAACUUCCAUAUUUUUUUAUCGAUACAGAAUAUUCCUGCAAAGCUUGAUUUACUUUGACAUUUGUCUACUUUUCUUGAAAUUGCAAAGUACAGAAUCGUCUCUGGUGUGGCUGGACUUUUGAUUGUCCUUAAAAAUCUAAGGUAAGUAAACCUUUUGUUCAAGUGACUGCUGUUUAGCACUGCUUAUUAAUUUCUGGUGAUUUUGUCCCUUUGUAUACCCUCCUGGUAAGUUCAUAAUUUUGGAGAACUGUCAGACUUAAUGGGGCUCUGGUGCAUCUUGUAAUGUCACCUUAAUUUUAUUGGAUUGCAGCAUUGGUUUCUCAUAAAUGCUUACUACUUUAAGCUUUUAUUGAAUUUCCUUGUAGAUCUGACAUUUGUAUCAGUCUUAAAUGUGACUGUGUAUAUUCUUGCUGGGAAAUUAAUUUUAUGAACUUAUCAAUCAAAUGUAGUUCCUUUAGAAUUUUAUAUUCUUUACACCAAAUAGAGAAUAUUUUUCUAACUAGCUCAUUCCAGCUUUUGAGGCUUGUCACUGUACUAGGGAUGAGGUCAAUAUGAUUGUCAAAGUCAAAGGCUAAACUGCUCCAUGGGAAGCUCUUGGAAAGGAAAUACAAUCAUGAGGAUAUCAUCUUGUCCUUGAUUCGCCAUCAAUCUAUUUGAACUUUUUAAUUGCAGGAAUUGGGUUUUGAUGGAUGAAAGUUUAAGUUUUUGUUUUGAAUUCUGUGAUUGUGAGUUGAAUAUCUGGUUUGCUGUUUGAGUUUCUGUUUCUUGGGAUUUCUUUUGGCAUUCAGAUGGUUUGAUUACCUUUCUGCCUUCAUGCCUCUAAUUCUUUAUUUUUUUUUUCUUUAUUAAAUUUUCAAAUCCUACUUUAAGUAACAUUUUCAUGAUAUUCUUUCAUUUGUAGGGAGUAAGCAUCUUCUAGAGAUGAAUAGGAUUUUAAGGCCCGGGGGAUACUUUAUCUUGUCAACUAAACAUGACAGCUUUGAAGCUGAAGAAGGUAAACAAAUAUCUAGAAAACUAUGAAAUGGCCCUUACUGGAUUUGAAGCUGCUGCUUUCAAGGAUCCUGGUCUCAAUGCUACCGAAGAGGUUCAAAAGAUUGUUAACCUUCUUGACAAGCUAGAUAAUUUGUUAAGGGUAAUGCAUUUUUCAUUUGUAAAUGUGGUAUCUUGAGGUCUUGAGUAUGUGUUUCCAAAGUGGUUUCUAGGAUCAAGGGGCCUUGGGCUAUCAUCUAUUGGCAGGUAACUUUUGAGUGAUUCAAUUUGUUAAUGGACGUGUACCACAAUCUAUAUCAGAAAUACGAGGGUAUUUGGAGAAUAAUUUGUUACAAAUAAUUGAAAUCUGAGUUGCAAUUCAGCUCUUAAUACUUUCUGUUGUUUUAUUGUCUAAGGUUGGUGUGCGAGGACAUAACUGGGGGUCUAGAGGAUAUUGCCAUUCCAGCUAGCAAUUUGGUCGAUGAUCCGCCUGUUGCUUUGCCAGUUGAUGUUGUAAAUAUGGUUAUCUUAGCAAGCAUAAAGGAGUUAAGGCUUAAAGCUGCUGGUGCAUUGUUUUCACUUAUUUGUGAGGUUUAGGACGUUAAUGCGCAUCACAUUUAUGGACAAGUAUAAGUUUAUGGUUAGGGUUAAUGUUGGGAUGGAAUAACUUUGUUGAAUAUAUGGAUGAAUGUAUCGGAUCUUUACAUAAAUGAAUUUGUUUUGAAUGUGUUGUCA